UACGUAGGGUGCAAGCGUUGUCCGGAAUUACUGGGCGUAAAGAGUUCGUAGGCGGUUUGUCGCGUCGUUUGUGAAAACCAGCAGCUCAACUGCUGGCUUGCAGGCGAUACGGGCAGACUUGAGUACUGCAGGGGAGACUGGAAUUCCUGGUGUAGCGGUGAAAUGCGCAGAUAUCAGGAGGAACACCGGUGGCGAAGGCGGGUCUCUGGGCAGUAACUGACGCUGAGGAACGAAAGCGUGGGUAGCGAACAGGAUUAGAUACCCUGGUAGUCCACGCCGUAAACGGUGGGCGCUAGGUGUGGGUUCCUUCCACGGAAUCCGUGCCGUAGCUAACGCAUUAAGCGCCCCGCCUGGGGAGUACGGCCGCAAGGCUAAAACUCAAAGGAAUUGACGGGGGCCCGCACAAGCGGCGGAGCAUGUGGAUUAAUUCGAUGCAACGCGAAGAACCUUACCUGGGUUUGACAUAUACCGGAAAGCUGCAGAGAUGUGGCCCCCCUUGUGGUCGGUAUACAGGUGGUGCAUGGCUGUCGUCAGCUCGUGCCGUGAGAUGUUGGGUUAAGUCCCGCAACGAGCGCAACCCCUAUCUUAUGUUGCCAGCACGUUAUGGUGGGGACUCGUAAGAGACUGCCGGGGUCAACUCGGAGGAAGGUGGGGACGACGUCAAGUCAUCAUGCCCCUUAUGUCCAGGGCUUCACACAUGCUACAAUGGCCAGUACAGAGGGCUGCGAGACCGUGAGGUGGAGCGAAUCCCUUAAAGCUGGUCUCAGUUCGGAUCGGGGUCUGCAACUCGACCCCGUGAAGUCGGAGUCGCUAGUAAUCGCAGAUCAGCAACGCUGCGGUGAAUACGUUCCCGGGCCU
rnacentral:rRNA from 1 species